GGGGGCAUAGCUCAGUUGGGAGAGCAGCAGACUGAAGUUAUUGGAUUCUGAAGGUCCCGCGUUCAAUCCGCGGUGCCCCCA
rnacentral:tRNA from 1 species